CCAGCAGCUGCGGUAAUUCCAGCUCCAAUAGCGUAUAUUAAAGUUGUUGCAGUUAAAAAGCUCGUAGUUGGAUCUCGGGUACUAGCAUGUGGUACGCUUUUUUGCUGUUACUACAUGUCUGGUCCUAAUCAACCGGUUGGCCGUUGAUGCCCUUUAUUGGGUGUUUUCGGUAGCCGGUACGUUUACUUUGAGAAAAUUAGAGUGCUUAAAGCAGGCCUUAAGCCUGAAUAAUGUUGCAUGGAAUAAUAGAAUAGGACCUCGGUUCUAUUUUGUUGGUUUUGUAGAGCAUUGAGGUAAUGAUUAAUAGGGACAGACGGGGGCAUUCGUAUUGCGGUGUUAGAGGUGAAAUUCUUGGAUCGCCGCAAGACGAACAACUGCGAAAGCAUUUGCCAAGAAUGUUUUCAUUAAUCAAGAACGAAAGU
rnacentral:rRNA from 1 species